rnacentral:lncRNA from 1 species
ACAAUUCUUGCCCUUGUUUUACAGAAGAGGAAGAGGUAAAGGGCUUCCCUCCAGGGUCAUCGACCUAGUCCACAGCGGAACUGGCACUUGACUGAAGCCCAGGGAGAACUUCCAUGGAACUAAAGCUCUUUCCGUUUUCAGGGGAAACAAACCAAGCUUCACUCUUGCAGGCCUGUUCCUUACUCCCAGAACAGAUAUGCAAGAAGUGGCGAGCUCUCCAAAGCAAAUGAAAUAAUGUGAUAGAAGAGUUAUCUCUGGGGUUCCUGAGAUGGCUCAGGAGAAGAAAUUCCAACCACGAUGGGGGUGCACAGACGUGGCUGAGAAGGUCGUCCUACUUUAGUUGCGGGAGCAUACUCUACCCUGUGCUGGUCAUGUGGCCUUUGCCUGCACAUUUAGAGCGAUUUUGUGUGACUGGCUGAAGCCCAUCUCAGGGCCAGCUGAAGAAGCAAGCAUGCAGAAUACGAAGAAAGGCAUACUCUGUGUCCUUCUGGCACAUCUGGAGAAUUCCAUGUGCUCAUGGAGAAUCAGUGUAAGAGUGAGUUGGGAGCCUUUGCUGCCUUGUGGGUUGCCUGUACCAGAGCAGACCCACAUUCUGCUCUCUGGCCAGCUCUACUUUCUGCCCUUCUUAUCCCAACUUGCCUAAUUGAUACCUUGGCCAAUGGUGUCAUUAACAAUGCUUGAAUAAUAGCUGGACCGGCUGAUUUCAAAAUGGCAGAGGUGAUUAAUAUGUAAGAAAUCCAGUGGGGGGCAGGGAAUAGGGAAAGGGAUGUGUUAGGAAAUGGAGCACAAGGAAGCUUCCUUCUGCAGCCCCUCGCUCACUGCCCAUCCAUCACCAUCAAGCAGAAGGACAGGCUUGGGGGUAGGAGUCUAACUCCCAGCCCUGGGUUUGCUGAUCCCCUCCAGUUUCCCUCCCCUGCCUCCCCCAGCAGCACACGUUCUGACACCUACAAGCUCGUUACAUGAUGAUGACCUAUAUUUUUAUCUUUUUUAUGAGCAUCAAACACACAUCGUCUUGCAAGCACAUGUGUUUUUCCCCUAUUGACGUGUGAGUGCCUUUGAUGGUAAUUUAUUGUAGGGUUGAGCAGCCAGGUCUUAAUUGUACCCUAAAAUUGCUUACCAUUUUGGUGCCUCCAAACCAUCCCAAAAUGUACCUUUUUCCUACAGAAGGGUGUGGGGCCAUCCCUUUGUGUUAUUGCCUUCUGCCGUGGAAUGUGGAGAUUAGAGAGAACAGGAGGGAGAGAUUCUCCAGCUGGGUUUCAGGGACGCCUUGGUCCCCAGCUUCUAAUUGCAGUUGGGCAGUAUGAAGGUUUUGCUAUACUCAGCAGAAACAAACUUCAUUCUUCAUGGGAUCAACACAGCUUUACCGGUUGCUCAGAGUGGUUGGUUGAUAGCUUUGGAGGACAUUUCCACUGUGGUCACCUGUAUGGAUGAAUCUAGCUGGCAUCACAAAAGAAACUGUUGGGCACUCGCCUAGGGAGUCUGGCAGCUCACCCAAAGUGAGUUAUACAUCUUAAGUCAUUCUAUAACAGCUGCCACUUCCACAGCUGACCACUCCCUCCCCUGGCUUAAGCUGGUUUCAACAACCCUGUAGAGUGUCCAGGGGGCAACAGAGGAAGAGGAAGACAAGGAGUAGAGCCCAGAGAAUACAAACAGAGUUUAGUCUCAACUAUAAUUUCACUUUGGGCCUAAUAGCCUCCUUCGCUCUACCUCCCUUGUCCCUCGUAUGACAGACAGCAUCAUACUCCAGGAGACUCAUAAUCAUUACGGAAGGAUGAGUCAAGGUUCCAGAACAACUAGAAAUGUAAGCCGUGUCUCAUGAAAAUAUAAGGGGGAAAUGGAGGCUGACACGAAUCCUUGCCUCUUUGUGAGGAAGCAAGAGAGGGUCUGGUGUUAGAGCUGGCCUUCUGCUGCGGUCCAGACUAUCCAUGGACCAGUCCUUGCUAGCUCUUGUUGCAGACUCUCCAUUUGUGCUCAUCGGUCCCGUCUCCCACACUCAUCACAUGUGCCUGCUCAUACUUGUCUCCACACAUUCAUUCAGGCUGCUGCCUUCCUCCUCCCCAAGUCCAGCUAUGGCUUCUAGGUCCUCCCUGUUAUCCUUGUCCAUUUCUUCCUGGUGUUCAUGGUCCACAAACUUCAACCAGACAAGUCUUAACUGACGUGCAGAACUCUAUCCUUCCAGAGCUCAUGUGCUUGUCUCUGAGUCUCAUCACCUUUCCUAAUGUCUCUGAAGAGACUUUGCACAGCCAUGAACCUUUAGAGUGAGUAUAAAGCUUGCACUACUACCUAUGGAUGACUUUUAAAAAUCUCCUUUGCUAAUUGCCUUCUCAAGAGAUACUUUGUAGUUUCUUUGAUCCCUCAUUUUUAUAACCAUGGCAAUAAAAGUUGUAGAUGUACAGAUGGACUUUCUAAAAAGAGCAGCUUCCAUGAUCAAUUUAACAUGAAAUAUAAUUUUCCUUGGGACAACUGCAAGACUACAGGUCCUCAAACUUUCUAAAAUCAGUUAUCUGGGAAUUUCCAAGAAAUAAAAGGCAUCUAUUUCAACUAUCUAGUUCUCCAGUACAAAAAGAAUAAAAUUCAAAUACCCAGGACCCUCUAUGCUGACAGGAUCUUUAUUUACACCUACAAAUCUUUAUACAACCUAGACUAUGACCUUAUGAGUUUUACUUUGAGGUUAAACUGCUAUCCUCUUUUGCCUCAAGACCUUGGCAAUGGUAUUUUUUCUGUCUGGGAUGCUGAUCCUCUAUAUCAAUGUAUUAAAGUUUGAUUACUUUAGUCUGGUUGGAAAUCUUACCCCAAACUGCAUCCCAGACCUCUGAUGAGAAUUUUUUUUUUUGCCCUUCCUCUAACUUCAGUGCUGUAUUAUUUGAACUUCUGAUUACAACACUUUUUUAUUGAAGUACUUUUAUUUGUGUUUGUAUUUUUUACUAGUUUGUGAGAUUUGGAGGGGGUGAAGAUUAUGCUCUUCUUUCUGAACUGUGUAUUCCUAUGCUCAGCAUGCUACCCUACAUAGUAGGUAUCCAAAAUACAUAGAUGAACUAGGAAAAGAGAACCAAACUGUUCACUCUGUCUACACUUGGUUUUCCUCAUGGUUUUGCUCUGUCCAAGUCAGGCCUGAGUAGUCUCCAUUUUUGUAUAUGAUAAGACAAGAGACUCUAAAACAAUAUGUUUGGCAGACCGUGACUUCAUGAGUUCUGAGAACAGAUUCUAAUAGAACUCUCCUUGGAAAGUUUCUGAACUAGGUUGAUAUGUUCCUAAUUGGCAAAGGAAUUGGAGGAAUAUGUGCAGGGGUCCACAUGGAGAGAAAGCAGGACGAGCAGAGGCAGCCGAGGAUGGAAAGGCUAAUAGCUCAGAACAGGGUUUUAUAUGUCAGCAGAAAGAGCCACGUACCUGCUUAAAUGCGCCCAUUUCACUCUUGGCACAGAUCUUGUUUCUGGAUGCUUCAAUAAUGUCAUUGGCAGCAGUUUUCCUGCUGGAGUACUUAAGGAAAAGCUGACUGCUAUACUUCCUUCUGGUUGUCAGUAGGAAAGCGGUUUCUGUUAUGCAUGUCCUGUGUACACAAGAAAAGACAAACUCAACCCUCCUGGGCGUCCUGUUAGUUCUUCCUGACAACUGCUUGCCUCCACCAUAUCAGUUCGGACCUCCAACAAAGCCUUUUAUUCUGAGAUAAGCUAUCAGGUUGUCCCCUCUGUCCAUAAUUAUUUGAGUCUGUUCCUGAUGGUUGACAUAUACAGUUCCACUUCUCUGCUCUCAAUCCUGUGGGUUUCAACAUGCCAGACUCUGAGGUAGUAUGUCCUCUUCUACCUCCAGGAAGUCUUCCUUGAUGGCAUCUAGAAAUGACCCAAACCUGCAUCCUGCCUAGCUCUGAUUCUUUGUGUUUGUCUGUCUUGCUUCCUAUCACAUGGGGACUUCCUCAUAUGGAUACCAGUUUUCUUAGAUGUUUCUCCCAUCUCCCUCUGGCUUCCAAUGGCUUUCUCUUGCUUGGAGAGUCAGCCCACCUUAACAAGUAAAUAGCAAAGAGAAAUUCUGAACCCGCUGAUCUCAUGCUCUCUCUGUCUCUCAGUCCUAUCCUAAGUUCCUGCAUUUCUCCCCUGGAUAAUAAUGUGAAGAGUAGAGAGAUCUUCUGGAGUACAAAGUUGGGGUUUCUCCCCUCUGUUAGUUAUUUUUAUCUUAGCUGAGACUCGAGAUCUGAAAGGAAAAGUUUAAAAAUGGGUCCCAGUGAGAAUUAUUUUCAAUUGGUAGAAGAGCUUAAUGUCUAUUCUGGGGUACCCACUCAUAGCCGGAAGCGAAGCCAUAAAUAAAAUAAUUCCAGGAUCGGUGAAGUUUUAUUCUCUUCUUUUUUGAGGAAAAUUGACAUUUUUGAGGACUCUAUGACUAAAGUGCUUCACAAACACUGAAGUAAAAAACAGAUCAAUUGAAUAAGCCUGGUUUAGCCUUUUCUGAACUAUUGCUUAAAUGGCAAUUGAAUUAUUUGUCCUAAUGGACUCGAUGCUUCCUCUCACAUGGUUCUAGUCAGGAGCUGUAAAGUGACCUUCUAAAAAUAUUAAUCUGCCUAGCUACCUGUUUUUGGUACCCUUCUGUAUUUUCUUUUUCUUUUUUUUUAAUUAGGUAUUUUCCUCGUUUACAUUUUCAAUGCUAUCCCAAAGGUCCCCCAUACCCACC